rnacentral:rRNA from 1 species
CACCGCGGUUAUACGAGAGGCCCAAGUUGAUGGCCAUCGGCGUAAAGCGUGGUUAAAUUAAAACUCACACUAAAGCAAAACAUCUUCAAGACUGUUAUACGUAACCGAAGACAGGAAGUUCAACCACGAAAGUGGCUUUAUUUGAUUUGAAUCCACGAAAGCUAAGGAA